rnacentral:rRNA from 1 species
AGUGAACGCUGGCGGUAGGCCUAACACAUGCAAGUCGAACGGCAGCACAGUAAGAGCUUGCUCUUACGGGUGGCGAGUGGCGGACGGGUGAGGAAUACAUCGGACUCUACUUUUUCGUGGGGGAUAACGUAGGGAAACUUACGCUAAUACCGCAUACGACCUACGGGUGAAAGCAGGGGAUCGUCGGACCUUGCGCGAUUGAAUGAGCCGAUGUCGGAUUAGCUAGUUGGCGGGGUAAAGGCCCACCAAGGCGACGAUCCGUAGCUGGUCUGAGAGGAUGAUCAGCCACACUGGAACUGAGACACGGUCCAGACUCCUACGGGAGGCAGCAGUGGGGAAUAUUGGACAAUGGGCGCAAGCCUGAUCCAGCCAUACCGCGUGGGUGAAGAAGGCCUUCGGGUUGUAAAGCCCUUUUGUUGGGAAAGAAAAGCAGCAGGUUAAUACCCCGCUGUUCUGACGGUACCCAAAGAAUAAGCACCGGCUAACUUCGUG